GAUGAACGCUAGCUACAGGCUUAACACAUGCAAGUCGAGCGACCGGCGCACGGGUGCGUGACACGUAUCCAACCUGCUCUUUACUCGUUGAUAGCCUUUCGAAAGUAAGAUUAAUACCCGAUGUAAAGGAUGGGGAUGCGUUCCAUUAGGUUGUUGGUGAGGUAACGGCUCACCAAGCCUUCGAUGGAUAGGGGUUCUCAGAGGAAGGUCCCCCACAAUGGAACUGAGACACGGUCCAAACUCUGAGGGGAGGCAGCAGUGAGGAAGAUUGGUGAAUGGGCGUUAGCCUGAACCAGCCAAGUAGCGUGAAGUAUGAAGGGUUAUGGGUCGUAAACAUCUUUUGUAUAAGAAUAUGUAUUAUAUGAAUAAGGAUCGGCUAACGCCGUGCCAGCCGCCGCGGUAAUUC
rnacentral:rRNA from 1 species